rnacentral:rRNA from 1 species
GACGGAGGAUGCAAGCGUUAUCCGGAAUGAUUGGGCGUAAAGCGUCCGCAGGUGGCAGUUCAAGUCUGCUGUCAAAGACCGGGGCUUAACUUCGGAAAGGCAGUGGAAACUGAACAGCUAGAGUAUGGUAGGGGCAGAGGGAAUUCCUGGUGUAGCGGUGAAAUGCGUAGAGAUCAGGAAGAACAUCGGUGGCGAAGGCGGUCUGCUGGACCAUAACUGACACUCAGGGACGAAAGCGAGGGGAGCGAAUGGG